rnacentral:rRNA from 1 species
AUUGAACGCUGGCGGCAUGCCUUACACAUGCCAGUCGAACGGCAGCACGGGUGCUUGCCCCUGGUGGCGAGUGGCGAACGGGUGAGUAAUACAUCGGAACAUGUCCUGUAGUGGGGGAUAGCCCGGCGAAAGCCGGAUUAAUACCGCAUACGAUCUACGGAUGAAAGCGGGGGACCUUCGGGCCUCGCGCUAUAGGGUUGGCCGAUGGCUGAUUAGCUAGUUGGUGGGGUAAAGGCCUACCAAGGCGACGAUCAGUAGCUGGUCUGAGAGGACGACCAGCCACACUGGGACUGAGACACGGCCCAGACUCCUACGGGAGGCAGCAGUGGGGAAUUUUGGACAAUGGGCGAAAGCCUGAUCCAGCAAUGCCGCGUGUGUGAAGAAGGCCUUCGGGUUGUAAAGCACUUUUGUCCGGAAAGAAAUACUUGGCCCUAAUACGGUCGGGGGAUGACGGUACCGGAAGAAUAAGCACCGGCUAACUACGUG